CCUACGGGUGGCUGCAGUGGGGAAUAUUGGGCAAUGGGCGCAAGCCUGACCCAGCGAUGCCGCGUGAAUGAUGAAGGCCUUAGGGUUGUAAAAUUCUUUUAGUAGGGAAGAUAAUGACGGUACCUACAGAAAAAGCACCGGCUAACUUCGUGCCAGCAGCCGCGGUAAUACGAAGGGUGCUAGCGUUGUUCGGAUUUACUGGGCGUAAAACGCGUGCAGGUGGUUUAAUAAGUUGAAAGUGAAAUCCCGGGGCUCAACCUCGGAACUGCUUCCAAAACUGUUAAGCUAGAGUGCGGUAGAGGAUGACGGAAUUUCUAGUGUAGAGGUGAAAUUCUUAGAUAUUAGAAGGAACACCGAUGGCGAAGGCAGUCAUCUGGGCCGAUACUGACACUGAUACGCGAAAGCGUGGGGAGCAAACAGGAUUAGAUACCCUGGUAGUC
rnacentral:rRNA from 1 species